rnacentral:rRNA from 1 species
UACGAGGGGGGCAAGCGUUGUUCGGAAUUAUUGGGCGUAAAGAGCUCGUAGGCGGUUUGUCGCGUCUGCCGUGAAAGUCCGGGGCUCAACUCCGGAUCUGCGGUGGGUACGGGCAGACUAGAGUGCAGUAGGGGAGACUGGAAUUCCUGGUGUAGCGGUGAAAUGCGCAGAUAUCAGGAGGAACACCGAUGGCGAAGGCAGGUCUCUGGGCUGUAACUGACGCUGAGGAGCGAAAGCAUGGGGAGCGAACAGG